CCCUUCUUGAUCUGGAAUUCCACCUUGAUACAUUUACCUGGAAGUAGGGAUCAAUGGGGCUUACUUUUGUAAUUCCUCUUCCAGAAAAUAUAAAACUGCAAUCAAUCAAUCAAUCAAUGAGUUCAAUAAGUCCUAUUCCCUUCUGUUUAUUCUGAGGAUCACCCAAUCUUCCAAAGCAAAUUUGAGGAGCAGUGCCAAGAUUCCAAGGGGAAAGAUUACCUCAUUUCACCAACAAUGAUCAUUCUAUAGAUAUUGUCA